AUUUCGCUAAGCGGAAUCAAAAUUUUGGUUUUGGAACCAUAUUUUUCUUUUAGAGGGAACUAAAAUUUCGUUUGGAACCGACACUUAGAAAAAAUUAGGCAAACUAUUUUCCAGAUUCCUUUCUCUAUUGUUCAGAAAAAAUCCCCAAACAAUCCGAUAUCUUUCUAUCGUCUCUGGCUUUCUCGGCCAAACCUUAAAACUCUAUCUCUAGGUUUUUUUUCUUCUUUCCUCUUCUUCUUCGUUUUCGAUUUUAACUUCUGGUGUUGGAAAGUGACAACGAUUCUCUAGCUUCUUCUUCUUCUCUUUGUUUGCGAUUUAUUUGUUUAGCAGCUGCGUUGGUUCUGAGAUUUCCGGUGGAAUCUUGGAUGGCAUUGGAACAGCAAUUGAAGAAAGAAGAAGAAGAACAGUACUCGAGGAGGAAUAACAGAUAAACGGCAAUCUCUUCCAGUUCUCUGUGUGAAGGCAAGCUGUUGCGACUCUGUGCUGUACCACAGGACGUGCUCGUGGCUUCAGUUUCGUCGUCUUUACUGAUCCUUGUGUUGCAGAAAGAGUCACCAUGGAGAAACACACCAUCGAUGGCCGCACGGUUGAGGCAAAGAAGGCUGUGCCUCGAGAUGAUUUGGUUUGGAUCAGGUUAUUUGACUUUCAGUAACUAACAAGUUUCGAAUUGUUACAGUUUCCCUAGGAAAGCCGUUGGAGUUUCAAUCGGUGGCUCUGCUGCUCUGAAAGCUUGAUUCUUUCUAUUCUGUAUUAUUGAAAACAUGCCAUGUUCUAAGUUUCUGCUUUAUAGAAAUCAUAGAACUUGAAAAGGGUAAUCAUUAUAGUAGUGAAGAAUCCUUUGAUAUGGUGAUACUUAUAUUAGUAAUCCACGAGUUUUGUUCAGUAGA